rnacentral:sRNA from 1 species
UAUGCGCCAGCGAUUGCAGCGGAAAUCCUUUCCGGUAAAGAAUCCGAUUAUGAUUUUAAUUUUGAUUCGGAAAGAUUGGAGCGGAAAGCGCGGUCACGU